rnacentral:tRNA from 1 species
GCCUCCGUGGCGCAAUUGGCUAGCGCGUUCGGCUGUUAACUGAAAGGUGGAGGUUCGAGUCCUCCGGGAGUGGUG